GAUGAAGAACGUAGCGAAAUGCGAUAAGUAGUGUGAAUUGCAGAAUUCAGUGAAUCAUCGAAUCUUUGAACGCACAUUGCGCCCUUUGGUAUUCCUUAGGGCAUGCCUGUUCGAGCGUCAUUUAAACCUUCAAGCUAAGCUUGGUGUUGGGUGACUGUCCGCUUCACGGCGGACUCGCCUCAAAAUUAUUGGCGGCCGGUACAUUGGCUCUCGAGCGCAGCAGAAACGCGUAACUCGAGGUCCUCGUGCUGGCUCCCAGAAGCUAUCUUCACAAUUUUGACCUCGGAUCAGGUAGGGAUACCCGCUGAACUUAAGCAUAUCAAUAAGCGGAGGA
rnacentral:misc_RNA from 1 species